rnacentral:lncRNA from 1 species
AUUUUGCACUCCUAUUUAUUUGGCCACUUCUAUUUAGCCUAUAGCAUUUUCAAACAUUUUCACAUAGGUUCUAUUUCAUAAUUUCACUCACAAAUGACAAAAUCAAAGCAUGAAAUUUUGCCAACAUUCACAGAAUUCCCGAAAAUUGGAGCGUUACAACUCUACCCUCCUUAAAGAAAUUUCGUCCUCGAAAUUUACCUGAUCCAACUAGUUGAGGAUAUUGUUGACGCAUAGUCUCUU